ACGCAUGCGCAGACCAAAAUUUCGCGACUUUUCUUGAAGCUUACCAACUGUUCGUCGAUCUAUCCUACCUAGUGCUGAAGUUUGAGGUAAGUGUUACUGUAUUUCAGUAAUAUGUAUGCUUUUCUUAGCCUUACUACAUUAAUGCAUUUAUUACAGUUUACUGCAUAGGUAUUUACUGUCAACAUUUUAUAAGUUGUAUAUUUUGCAUGUGUGACUUUUAAUCUUGUACAGGCCAUUGUAGCCAUGCACGAGUAAUGACCGUCUUGUGAAAUCUUUGCAUCAGGCUGUGUCUCUUUCGGGCAUUAAAUGAUGCAUAUAGAAUAAAUGUUAACAUUUCCAUAAAUUUGAUAUACGACUUCUAAAUACAACAUGUUAAAUGAUGACAUGGUAUAACGUUAUAAGUUUAAUAAACGGAUGGGUGUAACAUAUACGGUGUAUAUACCAUUAAUGCCAAGUAAUAUGUUGCUUUUGUUGACAUAGUGUGUAAUAAAUAAACUGUUAAUUUAAUGUGCUAAUUAGAACUUGUUUAUUUUGCUUUUUUAAGCUAUGGAAAAAAAGUGGGAAGAAAUUCUCAACUUUUUGUCUGCGGGAUCAUACCCUGAUGGGUAUGAUAAGUCUCAGAGACAAGGCCUCAGGAGAUAUUCCUCCAAAUUCACUCUGAAGGAAGGGGAACUCUUCUUUGGAAGUCGGAGGGUCAUCAAGACCAAAAAGGAGGCAAGGGAGCUGUUCAAGGAGUUCCACUCCUCUCCUAUUGGCGGGCACACAGGUGUAUUGAAAACCCGCACUGCCAUGUGCUCCAGAUUUUACUGGCUUGGCAUGUCCGUGGAUGUUGAUAACUGGGUUUUGGAGUGUGACAAAUGCCAAAAGGUUGGCAGACCUUUGACUGUUGCUCAGCCACUCCAGUGUAUUAAGGUAAAUGUGUAAUAGUAGACAAAAAAAUCUCACAAUUUACUUUGGGACCCUCAUUGACUCUUUUGUGCAGCAACAUAAGUAAUCCAUUUGCUAUUGAGCAAUUUUUGUUAGUUUGGAUGAUUUGUUUAUUUAUAUUUUGAAAAAUUGCUUGUCUAAAAGGUGUCUGCUGUCUGGGACCUUAUUGGAAUUGACCUGACGGGCCCAUUGCCAAAAACAUCAGAAGGCCACCAAUACAUUUUGACUGCCACUGAUUACUUUUCAAAGUGGGUCGAAGCAUAUCCAUUAAAAACAAAAUCUGCUGGAGAGGUUGGACGGUAUCUGUGCUCCAUAAUAUAUAGGCAUGGAUGCCCCAAACGAAUCCUGUCUGACCAAGGCAGGGAAUUUGUUAAUG